rnacentral:sRNA from 1 species
GCCAGGUAUGGUGGCACAUACCUGUAAUCCCAGCAGCUUGGGAGGCUGAGACAGGAGAAUUGCGAGUUCAAAGCCAGCCUUAGCAACUGUGAGGCACUAAGCAACUCAAUGAGACCCUGUCUGUA